GGGUCGUUAGCUCAGUUGGCAGAGCAGUUGGCUUUUAACCAAUUGGUCGCAGGUUCGAAUCCUGCACGACCCA
rnacentral:tRNA from 1 species